rnacentral:lncRNA from 1 species
UCAUCUCUCAAAUUGGUCCCACAUGUUAGAAAUGUACAAAUUUGACAAAUUAUUUUCAUAAGUGGACCCAUUGGUCAAGUUUCCAUUUCACAAGUUUUCAUAUCACAUACAUAAUCAAAAAGAACACAUAAAUUUCAUCAAAUAUACCACUAAAUAAAUCUAUUACAAUCUUUACAACACAUAUGUGCUACAAUAUGCUACUCUUCACUAAGUAGAACUUGACGGCUUCACACUUCACGGCUUCACACUUGCUUCACACUUCACACUUGAGCAUCUGUAAAAGAGGAACAACCACAAAUUUAAAUCUCAAUUGCAGUAUAGGCCAUAUGCAGAAGUAGUUCAAAGUUGAAACAACAUCAAUUAAACACACACGCACAGAAACAUAGGAGUCAAAAUGCAGUAUAGGACCAGGACAAGGAAACUCCUGUUAUCAAAUCAACACACAGCUUGUAGCAAAACAGCAACAGAAUACAUUAUAACAAGAGUAAGCUUGAAUCAAACAGCACAGAAACAUGUGGAUAUCUCAUGUGAGCAUCAUGCUGUCAUUUUAUUAGACAAUGAUACAGCAACAGAAUACAAUAUCUUCAAUGCAAAUUAUGGUACUUGUAGCAAAACAGUUUGAAACAACAACUACACAAUACAUUAUAAUCACUUGCCAAACUCACAAGAGCAUAAGCAAAAGACCAGUGCAUAUUACCCAAGUUUCUUCAGUACUCGAGCAUCACAAGGAACAAGAGCAGUGCAUCACUAGUGACUAAGUACAAACUAGUGAGAUCUAGAUGAUAUCAAACCGAAGAAAAUCAGCCACAUCAAAGAAAGGAGAAAGUGAUACAGCUAAAGAAAAAGAUGGAUGGAGGCAAGAUAGAGAAGCAGCAGCCAACCUCAUACUGCUCGGUCCACAGGCUGGUCCCAGUGGCCUGCUGGUAGCGGGCGAAGAUCCCCUUGAUGCUGCAAGUAGCACAUGAAGAAGAAGAACAAAACGAAGCUUCCUUAGAGAGGUAAUCAAGCAAGCAAACAUAAGCAACAGUGUAGUACAGAAUGUAUCACUAUAGCAGGGGCAUAAUUUUUGUACUAGUUAAAAUCGAACAUGGUUUGUACUUCUCACAUAAAUCUUUACUCUUGUAAAUUCAAAUCUAUGUUUGAUCCCAGACGACAUGAGCUGAUGAUUAUAAUGUAUGACACCCUACUGAAGCAACAAACAACUCCUGACUUAUUACUACAAAGAAAAUAGUUCUUCCCAAGCCUCCAUUUUAACAAUGUAUAAAUCUGCACAAGCAUAUACUGUUAUGUCACUGCCUCCUAAGUAUAUAGUGACAGCCAAUUUAAAUUCAGCAUAUAAGGUAAGAUGCAACGUGUUAAUCAACUCACAUUAACUACUGGUAAUUCAGAGUGAAGUUGUUUCUGAACACCACUAGUGUAAUUAGCUAGCUACGUGUGUGUAGGGAGGGAGGGAAGCUAGCUAGGUAGCUAAGGAUUUGAGUGACAUUCAGAGAAAUCAAUGGAUCGAUCAGUCUAGUAGUAGUAGUAACUCCUACAUAAUGGCAGUUCCAUUUGAUGAAAUGAAACCAGGAGGCGCACCCUUUUUUCUCAAAAAAAAUGAACAGAACUACAGCCUACAAGCUACUGAAUUUUCAUGGAAAAAAUGAACAAAGACCCACAUAUAUAAACACUUUCAGGGCAAAAGACAAUCUGUAGUUGUAACAAAACUACCCGUUCAUAUGUUUUAUCUCACAGCAACAUUUUCUAGGCAAAAGAUUUACAAUUCGAUCAAGAUGCAGAACACCACCUGCAGGGACACUCACGAGACAUACCAAUGUGGAGUGGCAUUUCUAUCAGAAUAGUAGACUGGAUAUGAAAAACAUAGAGGUGUAUUCCCAGCUGAAUUAUGAUGUCACAUGCUAGUCUAAUAAUUAAGAUGAAACAAGAGUACACGACUGAAAUUAACCUAAACCAUCUCAGUUGUAGUUCAUUGAGCUAAAUAGCAAAUGGGUCUCAUAAAUGGAAAAGGACUAAAUUCAGAUUAUGUUGAAACUAUUUUCGCAAAUAGACCAGAUACAUCUCCAUUCCAAUGUUGAAACUCGUACUGCCAAACUGAGAACAUGUAACAAUCAGCUGCUGUAAUUCCAUUUCGGUGCUCCAAAUUAAGUAACUUCUAAUCAAAGUUACAGGUAGCAGCUUGAUCUGAAAUUCAAAGCACUAUAUUAGUUUCCUUCCAGAGCACACAUGGUGAUCCAUUUAUAGGGCGUGCAUCAAAAUGUAGAAACAACUAUACAUUGCUACAUAUAUAAACUAUAAAAUCCAUGCCCCCCCAAGACUCCAGCAAGCAAACCAACAGUAGGGUGACAUUGAUAUCUAUCAAGCCUCUAAAAUUUUGGUAAAUGAAACAGACAAAUUUAAUUUGCUGAUGUAGUACAUGUUGAAUAAAAAAUGUUGUAGAUUGGUUCGUAGGAAUUGAAUACCCAACUAAUUUUAUUUUCAAUUUAAGAAAUGCACAUACAAAUAGAAGUAAACCAAAUACCCCAAUACAUGUGCGUCAAAUGCAGUCUGAACUGAAACUCAACUGUAGGUGUCCCUCUCCUAUGUUAUAACCAAACUACAUGGCAGUUUUGGAUCGGAUUGGACCAACCAAAAUCAAAACAGCUACUAGCUAGCAAGGAAGGGAAGGGGUCGUACUUCUCUUACCACCACUGUGGUUGUACAGUCGCAGCUUCUGAUCUCCACUGCCAC